UGUGUGUGUGUGUGUCUGUGUGUCUGUUCCAGCUGUAACUGCUCAACGGUUGCAAUGCGACCAAAACUAACAGCUUCUAUAGGCUUCUAGCCACGUUCUCUUGGAUUUUGAUUCGUGGAUUUGCAAACUAAAGCUUCUUUCUCGAGUUAUGGCUAGUUUGACUCACAUUGAAGGCUGUUGCAGUCUCUUCAGAAUCUUUCAUAGCAUCAUCUGUCCGCACAAACUUUCUAUUCAACAUAUGAGUUAGCCUUGCACUAAAGCGCUAGCUUUUUGUUAGCUACAAUACUCAGAAAAUAUCUGUUAAAACAGCUAGCUAGCAGUAGCCAUUUGUGAAAUUGAUCUCUUUGGACACACCCUUUAAUUAUUCCUGUGUAUGUAAUGCGCAUGCGCGCUCAUUCCCCACGUGUGAGAAAAUAAUAAUAUCCAAGAUCCAGAUCCAGAUCCUCCUGGCAGAAUCAUCUUUGUCUUGAAGGCCUGCAUUGGACUUUCAAUCGGCGUGGUCUCGAGGCUAAGUCUCGCGAGGACAAGUCUCGCCAUCAGGGACAUCGAUGGAGCACUGAAGAAACUCGUGAAGACCCAGUGAGGGUGGAGUAUAGCGGGGUAAGAGUGAGGUGGUGUGGGUAUAGCCCUACUGAGGAACACACUAUGGAGCAAAUACCAGCUCAGCAUUUCAAAUGCCAUUUGAUGGACUAAUUAAGAAUGACAAGCGGAAAGAAACGCUUUGAACGAAGUGAUGACAACUGGCUGGAGGAAAAAGGCUCGGGAAAUAAGUAUGGUUGUCCCAAAAUUAAUACCAGGAAUAGGUUCAAAGGUCGUCCUGUGGACUUCAGACAACAGUGGAGAGGGUUUGUGGUUCGUAUCAGCGGUGGCAAUGACAAGCAGGGCUUCCUCAUGAAAUAAGGUGUCCUCACUAAUGGCCUUGUUAAGCUCCUCCUCAAGAAGGGGCACAGUUGUUACAGACCCAAACGCACUGGAGAGAGGAAACGCAAGUCAGUGAGAGGCUGCAUAGUGGACAGCAACCUGAGUGUGCUCAAUCUAGUCAUUAUCAAGAAAGAUCUGUGCCCGGCCCUACACUGUGUUCCGAUGGUGUCCUGGUGCUAAGAUGCACUACAAGAGAACAGAGGUCUGCCAGUCAUGUGCUCAACUCAAGAACGUCUGUCAAACCUGUCUCCUUGGUGAGCCCUGUCACUAUAUAACCCCUAACUGUUGCUAUGGUGACACACAAUCAUCAGUACACUGCAUUCAAUACUUCCUAGAACAACUUUUUUCAAGUCAUGAAUUUGUAUAAAAAGUCUCACAGUAUACAAUGUAUCUCUCCAGGGUGUCAUACAGGGAAAUAAGAAAAGUAACCAGAAAAUGUUGUUAAAAAAAGGUCAACUGUUAUUUCAAUACCCAGCUAUGGACACUCAGUCAUCAUUGAAAGGGGGGGAAAAUUGGAGCUAGGGGGGAUAUCCCCCUUCCCCCCCCCUAGCUUUACUCGCUUUUAUUUGAGCAUUAAAAGUCUGUCACUCUUAAAACUAAUAACUUGUUGUGUGUAUGGAGGCUUUAUCCGAAUAGCCGUGGUUAUGAUUUCAUACGUAGUACCGCCCACCGCGGAACCAUUUUUACAAGUAUAUACUUCCAGUUUUCAGCCCUUAGCAAAAAAAGGUGCGUAGCUUCGAAACCGUAGCAGUUUUCUUUGGGCAACUUUGCAGCUAGCUAGUCUACAGUAGCUACUCUAUCAGGAUCUCCUGGACUCCAACGGAAUUGUCAACCAGCCAAGGCCACAGCGAAGGAUCCUUUUAGAGCAUUCGCCUCUGGCAAAGAAAGAUGCA